UUGUUCUCGUUUCGUAUUUAACUUCGGUAUUUGCAAUUUUAGAAUUUUCUUGUUGAUCUUUAGUCUGGUAUAUGACUGAACGUGUACUAAAUUAAUACUAAAUAACCAUCAAGAAUGUAAUUCUAAAUUUAGUGUAUAUAAAAUGUGUACGCCAGCAACCAAAUUCUAAAGUUUUUAUGUCAUAGGUCCACAACCCGAAACUCAAUUAUCUCCGAACGAUAGACUCCCGUAUAGUUUCUUAAUGAGGGUGCUACCAUACUCAUAACUCAUUUAGGGUGAGUCGUCCAGUGGUUGGUUGGCAUUUGUCCCGUAUGGAUUUUUAUUUCCAUCGAUGGCAGAAGACUUGGCCUGAUUGAAGUGAUUAUCAGUUGCUUAUGCGAUUACACCAAUCACUGGCACUGAAGGAUGAUAUGUUUCACUGUAAAUUGGGUACCUAAUGGGUGGUAUUAUUUUCUGCUAACUCAAUUAAUACACUGAUUGUUUUUUAAUAUUCAUCAGUUCAUCUCUCUGUGCGUUGAUCUCGAUAGGAAACGUGAUAAGCAACAGUGACCCUUAUAAGUGAAAUCUGAAUGGCAAUAACUCGGAACGCUUCGGAUUCAUUGAAUUAUCUGCGUCCGCUUCUGAACAAUGAUUCUCAAAUAUUUGAUAAUGUUUAACCUUUAGCCGCCAUCAGGCCGCAUGGAAACCGAAACGCGGGAUAAUAUGGUGUAUCAUCAGCCUACUCAUAUGUUCCUAUUCGCUAUGAAGUACGACCGCAUUACCGUAUUACACUAUUCGUUCACUUUAUCACGAUUAUGAGCUCCAUAAAUAAAUUAACACCACUUGAACCGAGAGCCCCCGUCUGCCAAAUUAUUGAAAUGAACAGAAAAACGGAAGCUUCCCAAAUCUAUGGCGAGUCUUGAGCUGGAUAUCAAAGAGAGAAAUCAUCAAGGACCUCAACCACCUCUAUGGAGGAAAUAAAGAGCAAAAAGGUAUGGACAACGCGUUCCCCUUAUCGGCAGAAUACGGAUUGAAUGAAGCUACGAAUCGAAAAAAAGUUUAAGAACAUCUGCCCUAGAGCAGUAAUCAGGGACGCGAGCCUUUUCCUUAUUGGACGUACGGACGAUAACCUCCCAAAAAUAAAUACCUUCGUAAAUUCAAAAA